GACGAGGGCGCGAGCGUUGUCCGGAUUAUUGGGCGUAAAGAGCUCGUAGGCGGCUUGUCGCGUCGUCCGUGAAAACCCUGGGGCGUCAACUCCAGGCUUGCGGUCGAUGACGGGCAGGCUAGAGUUCGGUAGGGGAGACUGGAAUUCCUGGUGUAGCGGUGAAAUGCGCAGAUAUCAGGAAGAACACCCGUGGCGAAAGCGGCUCUCUGGGACGGUACUGACGCUGAGACGCGAAAGCGUGGGGAGCGAACAGG
rnacentral:rRNA from 1 species